rnacentral:rRNA from 1 species
UACAGAGGGUGCGAACGUUGCUCGGAAUUACUGGGCGUAAAGCGCGUGUAGGCGGGUUCGCAAGUCAGACGGGAAAUCCCCGGGCUCAACUCGGGAACUGCGUCUGAAACUGCGAGCCUUGAGUACCGGAGAGGGUGGCGGAAUUCCUGGUGUAGAGGUGAAAUUCGUAGAUAUCAGGAGGAACACCGGUGGCGAAGGCGGCCACCUGGACGGUAACUGACGCUGAGACGCGAAAGCGUGGGGAGCAAACAGG